rnacentral:rRNA from 1 species
UGGGGAAUUUGGACAAUGGGCGAAAGCCUGAUCCAGCAAUGCCGCGUGUGUGAAGAAGGCCUUCGGGUUGUAAAGCACUUUUGUCCGGAAAGAAAUCCUUGGCUCUAAUACAGUCGGGGGAUGACGGUACCGGAAGAAUAAGCACCGGCUAACUACGUGCCAGCAGCCGCGGUAAUACGUAGGGUGCAAGCGUUAAUCGGAAUUACUGGGCGUAAAGCGUGCGCAGGCGGUUUGCUAAGACCGAUGUGAAAUCCCCGGGCUCAACCUGGGAACUGCAUUGGUGACUGGCAGGCUAGAGUAUGGCAGAGGGGGGUAGAAUUCCACGUGUAGCAGUGAAAUGCGUAGAGAUGUGGAGGAAUACCGAUGGCGAAGGCAGCCCCCUGGGCCAAUACUGACGCUCAUGCACGAAAGCGUGGGGAGCAAACAGGAUUAGAUACCCUGGUAGUCCACGCCCUAAACGAUG